GCGCCCGUAGCUCAGUUGACAGAACGGUGGGACGGUACCCCACGGUCCCGGGUUCAAGUCCCGGCGGUCGCU